rnacentral:rRNA from 1 species
GAUGAACGCUAGCGGCAGGCCUAAUACAUGCAAGUCGGACGGGAUUUGGGAGCUUGCUCCUAAUGAGAGUGGCGCACGGGUGCGUAGCACGUAUGUAACCUACCUUAAUCAGGGGGAUAGCCUCUCGAAAGAGAGAUUAACACCGCAUAAUAUAUUUUUAUGGCAUCGUAGAAAUAUCAAAUAUUUAUAGGAUUAAGAUGGGCAUGCGGAACAUUAGCUAGUUGGUAAGGUAACGGCUUACCAAGGCUACGAUGUUUAGGGGAUCUGAGAGGAUGACCCCCCACACUGGUACUGGGACACGGACCAGACUCCUACGGGAGGCAGCAGUAAGGAAUAUUGGUCAAUGGGCGCAAGCCUGAACCAGCCAUGCCGCGUGCAGGAAGACGGCCCUAUGGGUUGUAAACUGCUUUUGUACCGGAAUAAACCCUUUUACGUGUAAGAGGCUGAAUGUAUGGUAAGAAUAAGGAUCGGCUAACUCCGUGCCAGCCGCCGCCGUAA